CAGCAGCCGCGGUAAUACGUAGGUGGCAAGCGUUGUCCGGAAUUAUUGGGCGUAAAGGGCUCGCAGGCGGUUUCUUAAGUCUGAUGUGAAAGCCCCCGGCUCAACCGGGGAGGGUCAUUGGAAACUGGGAAACUUGAGUGCAGAAGAGGAGAGUGGAAUUCCACGUGUAGCGGUGAAAUGCGUAGAGAUGUGGAGGAACACCAGUGGCGAAGGCGACUCUCUGGUCUGUAACUGACGCUGAGGAGCGAAAGCGUGGGGAGCGAACAGGAUUAGAGACCCCGGUAGUCCCUGUCUCUUAUAC
rnacentral:rRNA from 1 species